rnacentral:rRNA from 1 species
UUCCAAGUUGAGGAACAAUAAGAUUUAGUGGCGGACGGGUGAGUAACACGUUGGUACCUACCCUCUAGUGGGGAAUAACUUCGAGAAAUCGAGGCUAAUACCGCAUAAUAUCUACGGAUUUAAAGCUUUAUGCGCUAGAGGAGGGGCCUGCGUCUGAUUAGCUUGUUGGUGAGGUAAAAGCUCACCAAGGCGACGAUCAGUAGCUGGAUCGAGAGGUUGACCAGCCACACUGGGACUGAGAUACGGCCCAGACUCCUACGGGAGGCAGCAGUAAGGAAUCUUCCACAAUGGGCGAAAGCCUGAUGGAGCAAUGCCGCGUGCAGGAUGACGGCCUUCGGGUUGUAAACUGCUUUUAUAUGGGAAGAUUAUGACGGUACCAUAUGAAUAAGGACCGGCUAACUACGUG